rnacentral:rRNA from 1 species
CAGCCGCCACGGGAAUACGUAGGGUGCAAGCGUUAUCCGGAAUUAUUGGGCGUAAAGAGCUCGUAGGCGGUUUGUCGCGUCUGCUGUGAAAACUGGAGGCUCAACCUCCAGCCUGCAGUGGGUACGGGCAGACUAGAGUGCGGUAGGGGAGAUUGGAAUUCCUGGUGUAGCGGUGGAAUGCGCAGAUAUCAGGAGGAACACCGAUGGCGAAGGCAGAUCUCUGGGCCGUAACUGACGCUGAGGAGCGAAAGCGUGGGGAGCGAACAGGAUUAGAUACCCCGGUAGUCCCUGUCUCUUAUAC